UUUCCCCUGCCUUGUUUGUGAUCACCAGAUGUUUCCGAGCCGAUUCUUCGUCUGAGGGCGCCUCCACUGUUUCAGGAAAGGAAUCUCCUUGCGAAAUUCCUCGAACGGGGCACGAGUACUGCCCACCUAACUAUAGUUAGGUUCGGAUGAACUGGAGCACGGCAUAGGCGGGGGAUUU
rnacentral:other from 1 species